rnacentral:rRNA from 1 species
UGAACGCUGGCGGCGUGCUUAACACAUGCAAGUCGCACGAGAACGCUUCAGCUUGCUGAAGUUAGUAAAGUGGCGCACGGGUGAGUAACGCGUGGGUAAUCUACCUCCGAAUUGGGGAUAACAUUGCGAAAGCGAUGCUAAUACCGGAUAAUAUCUCGAGAGCUACGGCUUUUGAGAUCAAAGGUGGCCUCUACAUGUAAGCUACCGAUUGGAGAUGAGCCCGCGUACCAUUAGCUUGUUGGUAGGGUAACGGCCUACCAAGGCAGCGAUGGUUAGCUGGUCUGAGAGGAUGAUCAGCCACACUGGAACUGGCACACGGUCCAGACUCCUACGGGAGGCAGCAGUGAGGAAUUUUGCGCAAUGGGGGAAACCCUGACGCAGCAACGCCGCGUGAGUGAUGAAGGCUUUCGGGUCGUAAAGCUCUGUCAAGUGGGAAGAAACUAUAAAAUGCCAAUACCAUUUUAUACUGACGGUACCACUGAAGGAAGCACCGGCUAACUCC